UGCGUAGGCGGUCUGGUAAGUCAGAGGUGAAAUCUUGCAGCUCAACUGUAAAAUUGCCUUUGAUACUGUCAGACUUGAAACAGGUUGAGGUUGGCGGAAUGUGGCAUGUAGCGGUGAAAUGCAUAGAUAUGCCAUAGAACACCAAUUGCGAAGGCAGCCAGCUGGGCCCUGUUUGACGCUGAGGCACGAAAGCGUGGGGAGCGAACA
rnacentral:rRNA from 1 species